GCAGUAUUGUUUGUCCUGUAAACAAAACCUUGAACGUCUUCCCUGCAGCCCUAACGCAGUGACGAUGGAGUAUUCAAUAAUGGCACAGAACUGUGUUUUUCAGGGCUCGCAGAUUCUAUUGUGACUAAACAAAGAACCUGAAUGUAUUGAUGGUCCGUGCUGACACUGUGGAUACAGCAGCCACACCACUUUGAUUGACCAAAGCACUCAGCAGACGGGAACAAAGUGCAUAAAACCGACUGUCACAGAUUUGGAGCUUGGUGACCCAAUUAUUAGACCAUCUGCUCAGAAGCUGCUAUUCGCGUGCAUAUUUUUACAAGAAUGGGAACAGGAGAGGCAAGCGGAACAGAAGAUGGAUUCUUCUUCUCAGACGGAUAGUGCUUACCCGCCAUGGAUGUGAUGAGAAAGGAAAAAAUAAAGAAAGACAGACAGAAAAAAAGAAAGAAUGAAAGACAGAAAGACGGAGAGAAAGAAAGAAAAAGAUCUUAAACCGAACUACUAUUGGCAGCUUUUCUGUUGAAACAGCUGUUGGCAAGACUGCAUUUAAACUGUAAAAAGAGUGCCUUUCUCCAGAUACCCUCACCUCUUGUGCUCUGGUGCCUUUCAACAUUAUCACUGCAAAAGGGUCUGGUUCGGUGACUGUCACUUUCAAUUCUCUACUCAAAAGGUGACAAAAAACAGCUGCUACGUUGUUUUUUUUUAAAACUCUGAUUUAAUUUGUUUUACCUCGGAAAAAAAAUUGUAAGAGAUACUCCUCAAGUCUCAGCAGAAUACUCGACGAAUUCCCUAAAGAGAGGGUGAAAGUGAUAACUCAUUCAGUGACUGACACCUUGUGUAUUUUCAGAGGCUGAGUUGUAGCCAGGAUUCAAACGCUCACAGAGAGAGGCCCGUUCUGCUCCUGCUCUUGACGCUGGCCUGCUUGCACAGCGGGGAGGGCGCUUAUAUGAACUGGGGUGAAAGAGAAAUAGUCAUUGUAGUGAAAGGCACGGAUUUCAGCAGCAGCUGUGUCUGUUCUCUCCCUCUCUACCUCCUUCCCCUCCAAACACACACACACACACUCUCCCAUCUGCUCUCUUCACUGUAAUAGUAGUACCUCCGUUCCCUGCUCUUUCUCCUUUGUACAAUUAUUGUGGGUGAGAGAGGGAGAAACAUGGAAAUGCAUUUCCACCGCUUGCAUUUUUUCCCCUAAUUCACACCCCUACCUCUGUGACUUUCACACAACCUCCCCCCUGGAUGUACCUGGCCUGUCACUGGAUUGACAAGUUCCAACACUGCUGACGGAAUCAAUAAAACUCUCCUCCGCCCGCUUGACUCUCAACACCUGAGAUGAGAAGCGGAGAGGAGUGAAGAUUGAUAUGAAAUCAAUAAACCUGGAUGUCAAGACUCCAUACAUUCCUACUCGGGGGGCAAGAAAAAGCACAAUCCCCUAUGUUAUGUGUCUGGAAGAUUGACGAACCUUCACAGAAUUGAUGAACAUAAACCCACAUUUGACAGUGGAGCACUUUUGGAGUAACACUGGGGUGGACAUAUCCACUAUCGGUUACUGAAGUUAACAAACUUUUUCAUCAGUUUGCAGUUGAAGUAGUAUUUCCUUAUUAUAGCCACACCCUAAUAGAGCUGCUAACCUUAUCAACCCUGUCCUCCUCACGUUGCAGCCUAUUUCUGAAUUCAGUCCAGCGUCCAGGCUUCUACCACCUUCGCUGGUGUGUAAAGACCUACCUCUGAGCAACAAGGGUCAGUUACUCCAGCAGAACUCACAAUAUAUAUUUAAUAACAUUGAUGAUUAAUGCAAUACAAAUUUACAUCUACAGAGUGUCGUUCACAUGGGUAGGCCAUCCCGAAGCUCUUAACAGUACUGGCUGGUCACUUGAGUUGGGGGCGGGAGCCGGGGUGGGGGGGAAAGGAAAGAUGACAAACUUAAGUGCGGUAAAGGUGGUAGGUAUUGAACAGAUUUUGAAUGAAGUGAGGGAGACGGGGAGGGAGGGAGAGAGUAAGUUGGAGGGA